GUCACACCUAACUUCAUUGUCUCAUCCUACCACUAUAUUUAGUUAAGUUUCACAUUCAAACCACUGCCAGAACCAACUUCCUCUUCUUCGACUCCGACUAAGUCCGGCGAGUGUUCUUUAGUCUACUGUUCACCCUUCCCGCAGCCCUUGCAAAGCCGCUCCCUGGCUCAGAAGCCCUUCCUCUGUAAGCCCCAGACUCGCCCUGGUCUCUCGAUCUCACCCAGUGUCAGGAAUGCUCCUACAAUGGAACAAGUUCUGCGUCUCGGUCAGUCAGAUUCCCGCCAGUGGAUUCGGGCCGUGACAGGACCCUACUGUGUCCACAGGGAGAGCAGAGCGAGGCUUCCCUCCCACUGACUAACGCGACCUUACCUGGCUGAGGCGCCACAGCGGCAGACGCGCUGGGAGGCGAGGAGGGUAUCCCGCAACGGUUCAGGUCCCGCGGCCGCUUCUCUAGCCGCCGGACCAACCAGCGCACGGCGAUGAGCAGCACGGAGGCACCUAGGAGCUCCCAGGCCAGCGCUGCCCACUCAACCACAGCCAACCGCUGCCACAGCAUCGCCACCGCCGACGCCGAGGCCUAGAGCGCGGGCGCCGGAGUUAUAGUCCGCGCCGCGCACACCUCAGGCCCUCACUAGGCCGCUCGCUUCGCUGCCGGAGCCGCGCAGGCCUUAGGCCUCCGCCCCGCCGCGGGGUUACAGAAGUUACAGCCUGACAGGAGACGGCGAGGCGGGGUGCGCGUGCAGUCCGGUGUCUUUCGUUUCCCAACGAUCAAGCCAGAACGCCUCCAGGAACCCAGCCUCCGGCGGCUUCGGAGGCAACCGGGGUCCUGAUUCAAGCGAGACGCCGUCUGGCAGUGGCGCGGGCAGCAUGUCAGGGGCCUGAGUCGGGCUCGGCGCUCUGGCUGGGCGCGGCUUGUUCUUCAGUGCCGUGGGCGCUUCGUCUUGAGUUGUUGCCGCGGGUCUGGGGAUUGGAGAGCCAGGAGCUGGCACCUGGGCCACCAAGACUGUGGCCAGAGGAGCCGGUCAGAGUCCUUGACAGAGUACUGGCAACAAUCUGAUCCACCAACAAUCACAAGGUGACCAAGUGCCAAGGAGCAAGGCUGAGCAGACAGGAAAUACAGGUGUUACCUCAUCUUCCAGCUCCAGCACCUUCUCCCGGGACUCUUCCAGUUCCUGGCUAGUCAUUGUGAUCACCUCCUGUAACUCCUUCUCCAACAAUAUCUUGCUUUGGCCAACAUUCUGCAGUUCCACCUCCAGAGCCCGAAUCUUCUCCUGAGAGCCAAAAUGGGAGUCAUGUUUAGUCAACGGCCCUUCCCUCCUGCAACUCUCAUGGACACAUAAUUGACUACAGCCUAGAUUUUGUAGUUGUUGUUUUUAAAUUUUUAUUAAAUUUUUGAAUUUGUGUGUGUA